AGUGAACGCUGGCGGUAGGCCUAACACAUGCAAGUCGAACGGCAGCACAGUAAGAGCUUGCUCUUACGGGUGGCGAGUGGCGGACGGGUGAGGAAUACAUCGGAAUCUACUUUUUCGUGGGGGAUAACGUAGGGAAACUUACGCUAAUACCGCAUACGACCUACGGGUGAAAGCAGGGGAUCUUCGGACCUUGCGCGAUUGAAUGAGCCGAUGUCGGAUUAGCUAGUUUGCGGGGUAAAGGCCCACCAAGGCGACGAUCCGUAGCUGGUAUGAGAGGAUGAUCAGCCACACUGGAACUGAGACACGGUCCAGACUCCUACGGGAGGCAGCAGUGGGGAAUAUUGGACAAUGGGCGCAAGCCUGAUCCAGCCAUACCGCGUGGGUGAAGAAGGCCUUCGGGUUGUAAAGCCCUUUUGUUGGGAAAGAAAAGCAGCAGGUUAAUACCCCGCUGUUCUGACGGUACCCAAAGAAUAAGCACCGGCUAACUUCGUG
rnacentral:rRNA from 1 species